rnacentral:rRNA from 1 species
UGCACAUGCUGUGAGCUCGAUGAGUAGGGCGGGACACGUGGUAUCCUGUCUGAAUAUGGGGGGACCAUCCUCCAAGGCUAAAUACUCCUGACUGACCGAUAGUGAACCAGUACCGUGAGGGAAAGGCGAAAAGAACCCCGGCGAGGGGAGUGAAAAAGAACCUGAAACCGUGUACGUACAAGCAGUGGGAGCACGCUUAGGCGUGUGACUGCGUACCUUUUGUAUAAUGGGUCAGCGACUUAUAUUCUGUAGCAAGGUUAACCGAAUAGGGGAGCCGAAGGGAAACCGAGUCUUAACUGGGCGUUAAGUUGCAGGGUAUAGACCCGAAACCCGGUGAUCUAGCCAUGGGCAGGUUGAAGGUUGGGUAACACUAACUGGAGGACCGAACCGACUAAUGUUGAAAAAUUAGCGGAUGACUUGUGGCUGGGGGUGAAAGGCCAAUCAAACCGGGAGAUAGCUGGUUCUCCCCGAAAGCUAUUUAGGUAGCGCCUCGUGAAUUCAUCUCCGGGGGUAGAGCACUGUUUCGGCAAGGGGGUCAUCCCGACUUACCAACCCGAUGCAAACUGCGAAUACCGGAGAAUGUUAUCACGGGAGACACACGGCGGGUGCUAACGUCCGUCGUGAAGAGGGAAACAACCCAGACCGCCAGCUAAGGUCCCAAAGUCAUGGUUAAGUGGGAAACGAUGUGGGAAGGCCCAGACAGCCAGGAUGUUGGCUUAGAAGCAGCCAUCAUUUAAAGAAAGCGUAAUAGCUCACUGGUCGAGUCGGCCUGCGCGGAAGAUGUAACGGGGCUAAACCAUGCACCGAAGCUGCGGCAGCGACGCUUAUGCGUUGUUGGGUA